UACGUAGGGUGCGAGCGUUGUCCGGAAGUAUUGGGAGUAAAGAGCUUGUAGGCGGUUUGUCGCGUCUGCUGUGAAAAUCCGGGGCUCAACCCCGGACUUGCAGUGGGUACGGGCAGACUAGAGUGUGGUAGGGGAGACUGGAAUUCCUGGUGUAGCGGUGAAAUGCGCAGAUAUCAGGAGGAACACCGGUGGCGAAGGCGGGUCUCUGGGCCGAUAUUGACGCUGAGGAGCGAGAGCGUGGGGAGCAAACAGG
rnacentral:rRNA from 1 species